rnacentral:misc_RNA from 1 species
GAAUACGAAGCGCAAGAAAGCGAACACCAUAUGGGAAAACUACAAGCCAAAGGGCACGUCACAGACUAUUUUCCUCUUCACCCUCCAACCACCAGCACACGCUCGCACUCACAUACGCGCAGUGGUGCGGCCUUCGACUUACUGGUGAGCUACGGCGGCUGUUGCCCUCCCCCUCCCCCUCCUCCCCACUCAUCCAUCUUUCGUUUUGCUUUAUUUGAGGCUCGCACCUCCCCCCCCCUCCUUCCCCAGACGCGCCGUUCCUAUUUUUGGGGGCCGCACCCACGCCUGAGGUGUGACGAGAGGAGGUUGCCGACGCACAAAGGCACGCGCGUGACGGUCAGCAAGACGCAAGAAACAGGCGGAGAACUGCGUGGGCAAUACGGACGUGUGCGGUCGUGUGCCCGUGCCUGUGUGUGUGGGUGGGUGUGCGGUUGGGUGGGUGUAACGAUUAGUGUGCCUCUCCCCCGUUUUUUUACCUUAUUAGUGGCAUUGCGUGUGUGCCGUGUGCUACUGCAAGUACCCCCUCCCUCCCUCUCCCCCACGCCACGCGCGUGGUUUGUCCUUUCUUCAGGCAUCUCACGUACAGUGACGCUUACGGCACCUCCUGUUGUGGCGCCACAGUGGCGCGGGUUGCUUGCGGCUGUGGCGUCACCAUCGCGUAGCUCAGUGCAAGGGAAAAGAAAGGCACGCCCUUUCAAACACGUAAGAAAGGCACGCGGCAGAGGCGUCACUCACCUAACUGACGGAAGUCUGGUCUACUGCUCUGCGCGCGUAAUUCUCUCCGUCUCUCUGCGUGCGGGUGCGUGUCUGUCGACGAGCAGCUGAAAGUGAGAGCACAAGAAAAGAAAGGUGCCUUUCACCCAUCAUACACCCACACGUACACGCCCGCAAGGGCAUAGCAGGUAUUGAAGAGUCUCGUGAGGUUUCUCGUGUAGGCAUUCUGUGGAUCUCUCACGCAGCUCUCCAUCUGUGUGCUCAUCGUCGCUAUCACUUCCAUCACUAUUAAGACGCAUAUAUCAGGUUCGCCGCUUGCUUUUUUGCAUAUAAAUUUUCGUUCCUCCCGUGUCUGCGUCUGUGUGCGGGUGGAGAGGCGCGCGUGGUCUUCCCCUCCCCUUCUCCUUCCCGCCUCCUGAGCGUAAGCGCCCUCACGCAGACGCGCUGGGACGUUCACAGGCCUGUCUGUCAGCUCCUUUGCCUGCCGCUCUGCUGCCCUUUGGACGCCGUUCCCGUUGCCUCCCUCGCUGGUGCGCAUUUCUCGCGGUGAUCGAAGCGACGCAACUGGUCCGCUGCGACAGCAGUCAGCGAUGUCUUCCGGUGCCCCUGCUGCCGUGGAAAUGCAGGGCUAUGACGAAGCCGGCCCGCGAAAGAUGAGUCACCGCACGAAGCACCGGAAGGAAGUGAAGCGCUAUCAUCAGCGGCAGCAGAACAAGCACCUGCGCGAGGAGGCCAAGGCAAGAGACGCGCAGCUGUUUCUGUUUGAAACCACAGAGCUGCCGGCAAGGGGUGCGGAGCAGACGCGGGACGAUGCGCACUACGCCCCAGUGGAGACGGCGCGAGCCUCUUCCGCUCUGACGACGGUCGCACAAAAGGGCGCCGCGGUGGCGUUCAUCGCAGCCGGCAGCCAGCCGCCUCGACCCACUUCUGAGCAGCACCCCAACCAACAGAUCCUGCUCGCUCCAGCAUCGACUACCAGUGCCGCUGCGACCGCCGCAGCCGUCACCUCCGCUCACGCCUUGACCUCGGCUUCCCCAUCCAGCUGGGAUUUCGAGUUUCUGCUGCGCGCGUCUCCAGCGUCUACCUCGGCUGCCUCGUCGCCGGCAGAAUGCGGCGGUGUUGACUCGUGCGCUACCAGUGCCGUAGCCCUGUCGACGAUAGAGGAUGCGACGGCGUGUCGCAGCCUGAGCGUGCUAGAGCCGCUCCAGUCACAUGCAGUCGUGAGAGCGGUGCAGCGUGGACGUGUGGCGCUUCCUGACGCCGCGUCGCGAGACUUGCAAAUCUCCGCCACCGCCGCGUCGGGUGACCGGUUGCUGCCGGAGUCGUGCGCCCCGCAGCACUCCAACGCUCGCCCCUCGGCGAACUGGGAUCGGAUCAGCGUGCUCCCCAUCUACAGCGGUGCGUCUUCCACCAUCACGAAGCUGCUAAACAGUACCCACGUGCAGCGCGUGGAGGGGGUGAAGGCGAUCCCGAUGCAGGCUCCUCUCGCGCCGGGCACUGACAUGAACCGGCCGCCGCGCAACUACUUGACGCUCGACCCCGUCCACAACGUCCACCAGCAUGCCCCUGGUUUUUUGCGCAAUCAACGAGUGGCGCUUCAGCAUAUGUUGGCAAGUGCUGUGAUGGAGUGGAAGGACAUGCAGCAGAACGCCCUCAUCGUCUCCAGCGCGGAGGCGAUGCGCACCAUCUUUGAGCAGGUCUACGUUCCGGAGCGUCCUUUGGCGCUCCGCGUGCAGCGCAUCGGCCCGACGCUGGUGAUUGACUCGCGUGCGUCGGAGCCGUCUGAGGUGCACGAGAUGCGCCAGCAGGCCCUCUUCGGCAAGGCUCUGUACCUCAUGAAGGAAACGCACGGGCAAGCCACCGUGGAGGCAGACGAAGCAGCGGCGGGCGCGGCGGGCCAGCUGGCGCUGGCCUUGCCAGAACGGCGCCUCUCCAGCACGGCCGCGUCCGACGUACACUUCGGAGCGAACUUGCAUCGUUACUCGCAGGUGCUGCGCUGGCGCAUGGACGCGACCGAGGUGCUCAUCGGCAUCGACGCCCCCAUCGUGAUGGACCAGCGCACGAACACCGAGCAGCUUGUCCGGAUGAAAGAGAAGGUGCCGGUCGGCCCCGCCGAUGCCGAGCAGCGCGAGACGCUCCGCUGCUGGUUCGACGCAAUGAUGGCGAACGUGUCACAGGUAGGGACGUACGUGCACCACGACGGCAUCGUGCAGAGUCAUCAAGUGAAGAAGACAAUGGACAUACUCGACUCGGUGGAGGCGCGCAUGGCGGCGGCGGCGCUCAGCUUCACGAGUCGCGCUCUGCAGUGGCUCGUGAAGCAGUGCCGUCGUGACGGCGGCACGUACGCGGUGGUGCGCGACUACCCCUUGGAGUAUGUCGAGCUGUACGAGUUGCCUGACCUCGACGACUCCGCCGCCUUUGUGGAGGAGACGGACAAGUACUUUGGAUGCGCCGCUGCCGCCGCCUUUGCGUCCGCUGAUCGGGGCGCAGCGGAGCGGGUGGCCGACGGGGAGGCAUACGUUGAGAGCGAGGUGCCGGCAACGACGUCGUCGGGGUACGGCAUUGGCGGCCCCCCAACCGCAUCCCAGCUCAACCGCUUCAACUGGAACUUUGGAAAGACGUGCUUCAACAUUGGCCAGCACCUUUUCCGCAGCGGUGAUCUCAGCAGAGCCGGCGACGCGCUGCCGCUGCUGCACCGCAGCCUGCGCAUUUUUCUGCCGUCCUGCCGCGAGGACCUCGCCGCACGCGAAACAGUGGCGGAGCUGGUGAGGAUGGUGCCGGUGUUGGUGGUGCGCAAGCUGCAUGCGGACGCUGCGCAGACGGCAGCCGCCGUCGCCUCCAACAGCACGGCAGGUCGCCCCAAGAAUGCUGCUGCCAGCUGUGCCGCCGGCUUGUGCUCGCCGCCGGAGGUCUACCGAGACGCGCUGCUGCUGUGUGGGCGCUUUGAGAUACCGCUGCGCCACAUGCUUGUCGAGGCUGGGAAGUGGGAGGGCGGCCAGCUGAUGAGGGCCUUCUUUGCCCGGUGCCUGGUAGUGUGCAGUGCCGCUGCGUGCGCCGUGGUGGCGCUGUCGCUGGAGGCGUACUACUGCGGCUGCCAUCACCUGCGUGCGCUGCGCAUGGCGCGCAACGAGGCAAAGGCAAAGGAGGGAAAAGCGGCGCUGCGCGGUGCGGAGCAUCGGGAGGAGGUCAUGGCGGCCAUAUCGUCGUGCACGCAGGACCUUCUGCAGGUGGUCGUCGAAGGACUCGUGCGGCUGGAGGAGGCAAGCGAGCUCGUGGGACCUCUGCACUCGGCAGCCGCAGCCACAGCGGCCGUAGCAGAGGCGCCGACCGGCACGUGCGCUACGGACGAAAGCACCUCCGUGAACGGCGCAACGCCAGUCAGUAAGGAAGGCAAGAGCUCCAAGGAGGAGUUUUGCCCCGCCACGUCCCCUACGGGAUCAUCCAGGGCAUCGCUGACAGAGCACAGUAGCCAGCAGUUGCCGUCCGCGACGUCGCCAACGCAUACAAGUGAGCCGUCUGGACUCAAGAAGUGCAGUCGCGGCGCGGACAUGGUGGCGGUGUCUGCGUCGUGCUCGGCGGUGGUGGACCCGCGCACACAGGUAGACAUCACCCCUCUCCGCUCCGCCCUCUGCGAGCUGUACGGCGAUGUUGCCGUCGCCGCCAUGUCAGAAGCGGCGAGCGGCUUCUCCAUACGUGUACUGAGGGAGCUCGGCAGACGCAUGGAGGCGAGGCUGCAGCAGCGCGGCCUCAAGCUGCCCACCACCCUCGUCUGGCUCACAACCCUAAAGGCGGACGUCGUGAGUCUCUCCUUCACAGCGCUGCGCUUCUACGGGCGGAUUGGCACGCACACACGCCGCCACCUCGUCAAGCUUGCUUUGGUGUACUACCUGGUCGGCAAGGAGAACCACCGCACGGCACGCUACACGAAGGCGCUGGAGGCGUUGCACCGAGCCAAGUCUCUGCUGCAUGCCUCUCACAAGGCCGCCGAGGACGCGGUCUUUGGUGCCGUCUUUGGCUCACACGGCAUGCUGCAGUGGGCGGACGUGAUGCAGCUGCUGGGGGACGUGUACCGCAGCGUCGUGGAGCGGAAGCUUGAUGGCGCCCUCGGCGUUGCGGCUGCGACCCUCGCUCAGCCGCUUCUGGUCGGCCCUCUCCACGAGCUGCCUGAGGACGCGGACAGCUUCUUCACGCAGGCCCUGAGCGCCUACACGCAGGGCGGCUCCGACAAAGCCUGCAGGUAUGCGAAGGCGUACACGCUUCUCCUUUAUGCUUCGGUGCUGAUGGAGCGACUUGCAGUCUCAGGCGUCCCAGCAACGCACGCUGCGUCGCAGCGCAUUGCGCAGCUCAUACGGGAGGCCGAGGAGCUGGCGCCAAGCACGUUCGUGCAGGAGCGCGAGUGGCAGACGCUCCGCCUCUUCACAGUCACGAGUGCCGCCACGCAAGACACCGCCUUGGCUCGAACGGUGGAAGAGAUCCUGCUGCGCACCACCACGACCACUAGUGCUGCUGCAAGCAGCUCACGCGCCCGCCAGAACCCACCUGCCGCCAUGACGGGCGGCGGCGAUGAUGCUUCGGAAGCCUCGGUAGCGAGGAAGGAGUCGCACUCGGCGGAUGCCAAUGUUGCAGAGUGCGGUGGCUGUCGCCGGGAACGGUUGGUGACGCUUCCCCCGUGGCCGAUGCUUAUGGAGCUGCAGCAGGCUCUGGUGUGCUGUGCGAUGGUUGAGCGGGAGGCGCCACAGUCACAGUCGCGACCACGCGAAGCAACAAAGGUCGCAUCCACGGAAGCGAAAUACCGUGGGCUGCUACGGUGGGUGGGUCGCGCCGCCGGCUAUCUGACGAGCGUGCUGGAGUACUGUAAAACGCGCAGCGGCGAGCUGCAAGGGGCUGCCGCUCGACAUCAGUGGCAGUCGGUACUGCGGUCAUGGAGGGAGCAGGAGCCAGGCUUGUUAAUGCAUCGAAUGGUCUCCAUGAUUGCGCUGCGGCUGCUCGGGGCAGCUCAAGCGCUGCUUCCCAGUGCAAAGCAGCAGGAGGCGCGUGGCGCCGUCAAGCAGAUUGUCUGCGCUCUCGAUCAUGCCGCUACUGUGAAGGCCGGUGACGCGGAGGGGCACGCAGCAGCCGUCCAGCAGCUUCUUCGGGACCUGAACGCGCUGCUGGCACCUUUCGUAGAAUGGUAAUGCGGCUUUCCUUUUCCAGACUAGCCAAGCGAUCGAUGGGCCAGUGGGGCAGUGUGCAGCGCAACGUGACGGAUAAGGAGAGUGGUGGACCCGGAUAGUGCAACCUCUUUCGCUCAUGUGCGUCCCUGUGGCCAAGCGGCACUAAAGCUGCAUCGCACAGGCAGCUCUCUCUCUCUCUGUGUGCGUGUGUCUGUAUGAGCCCUCCACCCCUCCUUCCAAAUAUUUCGCUAGCAAGAGCACCAACAACUGCUGCGACGAUCUCGAAAGGAGUUGCCUUCUCGUUUGUUUUGAACACGUCAUUCGCGUGUGGGCAUGCCGAUCUGUGUGCAUGUCUGCGGGCGUAUCUGCGUGUGUGCGCGCAUGUGCAACUGGCGCUUGUUGGUGCGAUAUUUCACUGCCCCCC